AUUGAACGCUGGCGGCAGGCCUAACACAUGCAAGUCGAACGGUAACAGGAAGAAGCUUGCUUCUUUGCUGACGAGUGGCGGACGGGUGAGUGAUGUCUGGGAAACUGCCUGAUGGAGGGGGAUAACUACUGGAAACGGUAGCUAAUACCGCCUAACGUCGCAAGACCAAAGAGGGGGACCUUCGGGCCUCUUGCCAUCGGAUGGGCCCAGAUGGGGUUCGCUAGUAGGUGGGGUACCGGCUCACCUAGGCGACGGUCCCUGGCUGGUCUGAGAGGAUGACCAGCCACACUGGAACUGAGACACGGACCAGACUCCUACGGGAGGCAGCAGUGGGGAGUAUUGCACAAUGGGCGCAAGCCUGAUGCAGCCAUGCCGCGUGUAUGAAGAAGGCCUUCGGGUUGUAAAGUACUUUCGGCGGUGAGGAAGGGAGUAAAGUUAAUACCUUGGCUCAUUGACGUUACCCGCAGAAGAAGCACCGGCUAACUCCGUG
rnacentral:rRNA from 1 species